rnacentral:rRNA from 1 species
GGGUUGUGAGGUUAAGCGACUAAGCGUACACGGUGGAUGCCCUGGCAGUCAGAGGCGAUGAAGGACGUGCUAAUCUGCGAUAAGCGUCGGUAAGGUGAUAUGAACCGUUAUAACCGGCGAUUUCCGAAUGGGGAAACCCAGUGUGAUUCGACACACUAUCAUUAACUGAAUCCAUAGGUUAAUGAGGCGAACCGGGGGAACUGAAACAUCUAAGUACCCCGAGGAAAAGAAAUCAACCGAGAUUCCCCCAGUAGCGGCGAGCGAACGGGGAGCAGCCCAGAGCCUGAAUCAGUGUGUGUGUUAGUGGAAGCGUCUGGAAAGGCGCGCGAUACAGGGUGACAGCCCCGUACACAAAAAUGCACAUGCUGUGAGCUCGAUGAGUAGGGCGGGACACGUGGUAUCCUGUCUGAAUAUGGGGGGACCAUCCUCCAAGGCUAAAUACUCCUGACUGACCGAUAGUGAACCAGUACCGUGAGGGAAAGGCGAAAAGAACCCCGGCGAGGGGAGUGAAAAAGAACCUGAAACCGUGUACGUACAAGCAGUGGGAGCACAGAGCAAUCUGUGUGACUGCGUACCUUUUGUAUAAUGGGUCAGCGACUUAUAUUCUGUAGCAAGGUUAACCGAAUAGGGGAGCCGAAGGGAAACCGAGUCUUAACUGGGCGUUAAGUUGCAGGGUAUAGACCCGAAACCCGGUGAUCUAGCCAUGGGCAGGUUGAAGGUUGGGUAACACUAACUGGAGGACCGAACCGACUAAUGUUGAAAAAUUAGCGGAUGACUUGUGGCUGGGGGUGAAAGGCCAAUCAAACCGGGAGAUAGCUGGUUCUCCCCGAAAGCUAUUUAGGUAGCGCCUCGUGAAUUCAUCUCCGGGGGUAGAGCACUGUUUCGGCAAGGGGGUCAUCCCGACUUACCAACCCGAUGCAAACUGCGAAUACCGGAGAAUGUUAUCACGGGAGACACACGGCGGGUGCUAACGUCCGUCGUGAAGAGGGAAACAACCCAGACCGCCAGCUAAGGUCCCAAAGUCAUGGUUAAGUGGGAAACGAUGUGGGAAGGCCCAGACAGCCAGGAUGUUGGCUUAGAAGCAGCCAUCAUUUAAAGAAAGCGUAAUAGCUCACUGGUCGAGUCGGCCUGCGCGGAAGAUGUAACGGGGCUAAACCAUGCACCGAAGCUGCGGCAGCGACGCUUAUGCGUUGUUGGGUAGGGGAGCGUUCUGUAAGCCUGUGAAGGUGUACUGUGAGGUAUGCUGGAGGUAUCAGAAGUGCGAAUGCUGACAUAAGUAACGAUAAAGCGGGUGAAAAGCCCGCUCGCCGGAAGACCAAGGGUUCCUGUCCAACGUUAAUCGGGGCAGGGUGAGUCGACCCCUAAGGCGAGGCCGAAAGGCGUAGUCGAUGGGAAACAGGUUAAUAUUCCUGUACUUGGUGUUACUGCGAAGGGGGGACGGAGAAGGCUAUGUUGGCCGGGCGACGGUUGUCCCGGUUUAAGCGUGUAGGCUGGUUUUCCAGGCAAAUCCGGAAAAUCAAGGCUGAGGCGUGAUGACGAGGCACUACGGUGCUGAAGCAACAAAUGCCCUGCUUCCAGGAAAAGCCUCUAAGCAUCAGGUAACAUCAAAUCGUACCCCAAACCGACACAGGUGGUCAGGUAGAGAAUACCAAGGCGCUUGAGAGAACUCGGGUGAAGGAACUAGGCAAAAUGGUGCCGUAACUUCGGGAGAAGGCACGCUGAUAUGUAGGUGAAGUCCCUCGCGGAUGGAGCUGAAAUCAGUCGAAGAUACCAGCUGGCUGCAACUGUUUAUUAAAAACACAGCACUGUGCAAACACGAAAGUGGACGUAUACGGUGUGACGCCUGCCCGGUGCCGGAAGGUUAAUUGAUGGGGUUAGCGCAAGCGAAGCUCUUGAUCGAAGCCCCGGUAAACGGCGGCCGUAACUAUAACGGUCCUAAGGUAGCGAAAUUCCUUGUCGGGUAAGUUCCGACCUGCACGAAUGGCGUAAUGAUGGCCAGGCUGUCUCCACCCGAGACUCAGUGAAAUUGAACUCGCUGUGAAGAUGCAGUGUACCCGCGGCAAGACGGAAAGACCCCGUGAACCUUUACUAUAGCUUGACACUGAACAUUGAGCCUUGAUGUGUAGGAUAGGUGGGAGGCUUUGAAGUGUGGACGCCAGUCUGCAUGGAGCCGACCUUGAAAUACCACCCUUUAAUGUUUGAUGUUCUAACGUUGACCCGUAAUCCGGGUUGCGGACAGUGUCUGGUGGGUAGUUUGACUGGGGCGGUCUCCUCCUAAAGAGUAACGGAGGAGCACGAAGGUUGGCUAAUCCUGGUCGGACAUCAGGAGGUUAGUGCAAUGGCAUAAGCCAGCUUGACUGCGAGCGUGACGGCGCGAGCAGGUGCGAAAGCAGGUCAUAGUGAUCCGGUGGUUCUGAAUGGAAGGGCCAUCGCUCAACGGAUAAAAGGUACUCCGGGGAUAACAGGCUGAUACCGCCCAAGAGUUCAUAUCGACGGCGGUGUUUGGCACCUCGAUGUCGGCUCAUCACAUCCUGGGGCUGAAGUAGGUCCCAAGGGUAUGGCUGUUCGCCAUUUAAAGUGGUACGCGAGCUGGGUUUAGAACGUCGUGAGACAGUUCGGUCCCUAUCUGCCGUGGGCGCUGGAGAACUGAGGGGGGCUGCUCCUAGUACGAGAGGACCGGAGUGGACGCAUCACUGGUGUUCGGGUUGUCAUGCCAAUGGCACUGCCCGGUAGCUAAAUGCGGAAGAGAUAAGUGCUGAAAGCAUCUAAGCACGAAACUUGCCCCGAGAUGAGUUCUCCCUGACUCCUUGAGAGUCCUGAAGGAACGUUGAAGACGACGACGUUGAUAGGCCGGGUGUGUAAGCGCAGCGAUGCGUUGAGCUAACCGGUACUAAUGAACCGUGAGGCUUAACCUUACAACGCCGAAGGUGUUU